rnacentral:rRNA from 1 species
CGAGUUCAUUUCCUUAGCCGAAAGGUUUGGGUAAUCUUGUUAAACUCUGUCGUGCUGGGGAUAGAGCAUUGCAAUUAUUGCUCUUCAACGAGGAAUGCCUAGUAAGCGCAUGUCAUCAGCAUGCGUUGAUUACGUCCCUGCCCUUUGUACACACCGCCCGUCGCUACUACCGAUUGAAUGGCUCGGUGAGGCCUUCGGACUGGCCCAGGGAGGUCGGCAACGACCACCCAGGGCCGGAAAGUUGGUCAAACCCGGUCAUUUAGAGGAAGUAAAAGUCGUAACAAGGUCUCCGUAGGUGAACCUGCGGAGGGAUCAUU